UGAUCACAAAGGACCAAGAACAAAC
rnacentral:piRNA from 1 species